GCUGUUGUAGGGCAGUUCCUGGGCUCCCGCAGAGCGAUGAGACGUUGUGAAUUAGAUGUGAGAAGAGGGGCGCUUGGUCUACGACCACCAAGACCCCACAGGAUCGAUGCACCCACCCCUGCUGAUGACCAUGACCAUCUAAAGGGGAACAUCAUUUGAGGGGCCCUACUCAUGGAUCAGAAGCCCCUCUUCACUGUGGGGGUCCCAGGAACUCACAGUAUGCUCUAAAAAGGAGAGGGGCAAGAGCUCUGAGUGAGUACAUCCCGUUGGCCCGUGGGCUUUCUUGCCC
rnacentral:lncRNA from 1 species